rnacentral:pre_miRNA from 15 species
UCCAGGUGCAGGGCAGUCCCUGCCCACCGCACACUGCUCUGUGCCAGACCCAUUGUGCGUGUGACAGCUGCUGAUCUGUCCCUGGGUUGCACGAUC